rnacentral:lncRNA from 1 species
UCCCUGCUCCAACCUCUCCAGCCACAGUGUCUAAGAAUAGAUACCAGGACCCUAAAAGAAUAGUCACAAUGGAAAAAUAAAUGCUCAAAGGAUUCAGAGUCAGUUUUUCACAACACACAAACAGGAUUAACCUGAAGACCAAAGUUGAGCAAUUUAUCCUUGGUACGCAACCCUUUGUGAAAAGCCAUCCAGAGGAUGAAAGAGAACCUAGGAGUGAGAAUCCUAUGCCAAACCAGUUUGUCCCAAAGCACAUUCACACCUACCUGCCUAAUCGAGUGCCAGAUAGUAGCAGCUUUAACUUUACUAGCUUGAGUAUUACCCCAAAAAC